rnacentral:rRNA from 1 species
AUUGAACGCUGGCGGAAUGCUUUACACAUGCAAGUCGAACGGCAGCACGGGGGCAACCCUGGUGGCGAGUGGCGAACGGGUGAGUAAUACAUCGGAACGUGCCUGGUCGUGGGGGAUAACGUAGCGAAAGUUACGCUAAUACCGCAUACGAUCUGAGGAUGAAAGCGGGGGACCUUCGGGCCUCGCGCGAUCGGAGCGGCCGAUGUCAGAUUAGGUAGUUGGUGGGGUAAAGGCCUACCAAGCCGACGAUCUGUAGCUGGUCUGAGAGGACGACCAGCCACACUGGGACUGAGACACGGCCCAGACUCCUACGGGAGGCAGCAGUGGGGAAUUUUGGACAAUGGGCGCAAGCCUGAUCCAGCCAUUCCGCGUGCAGGACGAAGGCCUUCGGGUUGUAAACUGCUUUUGUAUGGAACGAAAAGGCUCUGGCUAAUACCUGGGGCUCAUGACGGUACCGUAAGAAUAAGCACCGGCUAACUACGUG